rnacentral:rRNA from 1 species
GACGAACGCUGGCGGCGUGCUUAACACAUGCAAGUCGAACGGAAAGGCCCUGCUGUUGUGGGGUGCUCGAGUGGCGAACGGGUGAGUAACACGUGAGUAGCCUGCCCUUUACUUUGGGAUAACUUCAGUAAACUGGGGCUAAUACCGGAUAGGAGCUCCUGCUGCAUGGUGGGGGUUGGAAAGUUUCGGCGUUUUGGGAUGGACUCGGGGCUUAUCAUCGUGUUGGUGGGGUAGUGGUUUACAAAGGCUUUGAGGGGUAGCCGGCCUGAGAGGGUGACCGGCCACAUGGGGCCUGAGAUAGGGGCCAGACUCAAACGGGAGGCAGCGGUGGGAAAUAUUGCACAAUGGGCCGAAGCCUGAUGCAGCAACGCCGCGUGCGGGAUGACGGCCUUCGGGUUGUAAAGCGCUUUCGCCUGUGACGAAGCGUGAGUGACGGUAAUGGGUAAAGAAGCACCGGCUAACUACGUG